rnacentral:rRNA from 1 species
UACAGAGGUCCCAAGCGUUGUUCGGAAUUACUGGGCGUAAAGCGCACGUAGGCGGCCUAUUAAGUCUGGGGUGAAAUCCCGGGGCUCAACCCCGGAACUGCCUUUGAUACUGGUAGUCUCGAGUCCGGAAGAGGUGAGUGGAAUUCCGAGUGUAGAGGUGAAAUUCGUAGAUAUUCGGAGGAACACCAGUGGCGAAGGCGGCUCACUGGUCCGGUACUGACGCUGAGGUGCGAAAGCGUGGGGAGCAAACAGG